CUACGGGACGCUGCAGCUAAGAAUCUUCCGCAAUGGACGAAAGUCUGACGGAGCGACGCCGCGUGAACGAUGAAGGCCGUGAGGUUGUAAAGUUCUUUUCCGAGGGGAGAAUAAGGAUGGCAGGGAAUGGCCGUCUGAUGACGUGAACUCGGGAAUAAGCCCCGGCUAACUACGUGCCAGCAGCCGCGGUAACACGUAGGGGGCGAGCGUUGUUCGGAAUCAUUGGGCGGAAAGGGUGCGCAGGCGGUUAUGCAAGUCUGGUGUGAAAGGUCUCGGCUCAACCGAGGAAACGCGCUGGAAACUGUGUAACUAGAGUACAGGAGGGGGAGUUGGAAUUCCAGGUGUAGGGGUGAAAUCUGUAGAUAUCUGGAAGAACACCGGUGGCGAAGGCGAACUUCUGGCCAUGUACUGACGCUGAGGCACGAAGGCGUGGGGAGCAAACAGGAUUAGAUACCCUUGUAGUC
rnacentral:rRNA from 1 species